UUACGUAAGGGAUAGCAGUGGAAAGCCCACAGUAAGCCCGAUGAGAAUCGGGAUUACGAGGACUUGGAGCGUAUAGCCCGACCCUUU
rnacentral:ncRNA from 2 species